GAUGAACGCUAGCGAUAGGCUUAACACAUGCAAGUCGAGGGGCAGCAUGAUCUUAGCUUGCUAAGGUCGAUGGCGACCGGCGCACGGGUGCGUAACGCGUAUGCAACUUGCCUUACAGAGGGGGAUAACCCGUUGAAAGACGGACUAAAACCGCAUACACUUGUAUUAUUGCAUGAUAUUACAAGGAAAUAUUUAUAGCUGUAAGAUAGGCAUGCGUCCCAUUAGCUGGUUGGCGAGGUAACGGCUCACCAAGGCGACGAUGGGUAGGGGAACUGAGAGGUUUAUCCCCCACACUGGUACUGAGACACGGACCAGACUCCUACGGGAGGCAGCAGUGAGGAAUAUUGGUCAAUGGGCGAGAGCCUGAACCAGCCAAGUCGCGUGAAGGAAGACAGUCCUAAGGAUUGUAAACUUCUUUUAUACGGGAAUAACGGGCGAUACGAGUAUUGCAUUGAAUGUACCGUAAGAAUAAGCAUCGGCUAACUCCGUGCCAGCAGCCGCGGUAAUACGGAGGAUGCGAGCGUUAUCCGGAUUUAUUGGGUUUAAAGGGUGCGUAGGUUGUUCGGUAAGUCAGCGGUGAAACCUGAGCGCUCAACGUUCAGCCUGCCGUUGAAACUGCCGGGCUUGAGUUCAGUGGCGGCAGGCGGAAUUCGUGGUGUAGCGGUGAAAUGCAUAGAUAUCACGAGGAACUCCGAUUGCGAAGGCAGCUUGCCAUACUGCGACUGACACUGAAGCACGAAGGCGUGGGUAUCAAACAGG
rnacentral:rRNA from 1 species